rnacentral:rRNA from 1 species
GAUGAACGCUAGCGGCAGGCUUAAUACAUGCAAGUCGAGGGGCAGCGCGGGUAGCAAUACCUGGCGGCGACCGGCAAACGGGUGCGGAACACGUACGCAACCUUCCUCCGAGCGGGGCAUAGCCCAGAGAAAUUUGGAUUAAUACCCCAUAUCAUAGUUAAGAAGCAUUUCUUGAUUAUUAAAGAUUUAUCACUUGGAGAUGGGCGUGCGGCUGAUUAGGUAGNGGCGGGGUAACGGCCCACCAAGCCUACGAUCAGUAGCUGAUGUGAGAGCAUGAUCAGCCACACGGGCACUGAGACACGGGCCCGACUCCUACGGGAGGCAGCAGUAAGGAAUAAUUGGUCAA